rnacentral:rRNA from 1 species
UACGUAGGGUCCGAGCGUUGUCCGGAAUUAUUGGGCGUAAAGGGCUCGUAGGCGGUUUGUCGCGUCGGGGAGUGAAAACCUACAGCUUAACUGUGGGCUUGCUUUCGAUACGGGCAGACUUGAGGCAUGCAGGGGGAGAACGGAAUUCCUGGUGUAGCGGUGAAAUGCGCAGAUAUCAGGAGGAACACCGGUGGCGAAGGCGAUUCUCUGGGCAUGUUCUGACGCUGAGGAGCGAAAGUGUGGGGAGCGAACAGG